UACGUAGGGGGCAAGCGUUGUCCGGAAUUACUGGGCGUAAAGCGUGCGCAGGCGGUUUUGUAAGUUUGUCGUGAAAGCCCCGGGCUCAACCUGGGAAUUGCGAUGAAGACUGCAAGGCUUGAAUCUGGCAGAGGGGGGUAGAAUUCCACGUGUAGCAGUGAAAUGCGUAGAGAUGUGGAGGAACACCGAUGGCGAAGGCAGCCCCCUGGGUCAAGAUUGACGCUCGAUGCACGAAAGCGUGGGGAGCAAACAG
rnacentral:rRNA from 1 species